rnacentral:rRNA from 1 species
UACGUAUGUCGCAAGCGUUAUCCGGAUUUACUGGGCGUAAAGGGCGUCUAGGCGGUUUGGUAAGUCUGAUGUGAAAUUGCCGGGCUUAACCCGGUAUUGCGUUGGAAACUGUCAAACUAGAGUACUGGAGAGGGGGGCGGAACUACAAGUGUAGAGGUGAAAUGCGUAGAUAUUUGGAGGAAUGCCGAUGGAGAAGGCAGCCCACUGGACAGAUACUGACGCUGAAGCGCGAAAGCGUGGGGAGCAAACAGG